rnacentral:rRNA from 1 species
UGGUGGAGUGAUUUGUCUGGUUAAUUCCGUUAACGAACGAGACCCCUGCCUGCUAAAUAGCUGUGUGAGUGAUUUUUCACUGACUGAUUGCUUCUUAGAGGGACGUGCAUUCUAUUAGAUGCAGGAAGAUAGGGGCAAUAACA